GACGAACGCUGGCGGCGUGCUUAACACAUGCAAGUCGAACGGAAAGGCCCUGCUUUUGUGGGGUGCUCGAGUGGCGAACGGGUGAGUAACACGUGAGUAACCUGCCCUUGACUUUGGGAUAACUUCAGGAAACUGGGGCUAAUACCGGAUAGGAGCUCCUGCUGCAUGGUGGGGGUUGGAAAGUUUCGGCGGUUGGGGAUGGACUCGCGGCUUAUCAGCUUGUUGGUGGGGUAGUGGCUUACCAAGGCUUUGACGGGUAGCCGGCCUGAGAGGGUGACCGGCCACAUUGGGACUGCGGUACGGCCCAGACGCCUACGGGAGGCAGCAGUGGGGAAUAUUGCACAAUGGGCGGAAGCCUGAUGCAGCAGCGCCGCGUGCGGGAUGACGGCCUUCGGGUUGUAAACCGCUUUCGCCUGUGACGAAGCGUGAGUGACGGUAAUGGGUAAAGAAGCACCGGCUAACUACGUG
rnacentral:rRNA from 1 species